CCCUUAGAUGUUCUCGGCCGCACACGCGCUACACUGAAAGAGGCAACGUGUUUGCCUGAUUCGAAAGAAUUGGGUAACCCCCUAACCUCUUUCGUGCUGGGGAUUGAGGUUUGCAAUUAUCCUUCAUGAACGAGGAAUUCCCAGUAAGUGCGAGUCAUUAUCUCGCGCUGACUACGUCCCUGCCCUUUGUACACACCGCCCGUCGCUACUACCGAUUGAAUGAUUUAGUGAGGACUUCGGACUGAGUCCAAUGCGGCUUUCGGGCUGCGUUGGUAUUUCGGAAAGAUGUCCAAACUGUAUCAUUUAGAGGAAGUAAAAGUCGUAACA
rnacentral:rRNA from 1 species